UGCAUGUACCCUAAUAAUGUUUGGACUGCUUGUGUUUUUCAGUGAAACUGACAGGCUCAAACAGAUAUAAUUCUGUCUUCCCGUGUGUCUCACUCACAUGACAAUUGGCAGAGAGCAGAGCUGCACUUUAGAACUACAAUGAUGGCGGAAUGUCAGAGCUACAGAGAUGACGGAACACUCAGUUACUACAGAGGAGGGCUGAGCUGGCAUUCAGAACUACUUGCUGUUUGGGGAGUUAUAUAACUAGUUUAGUCCAACCACUGAUGCAUAUUCAAAAAUAAAAGCCUCAAUAUUGCAGUUAGUGCACUGCCUUUACCAUAAAAUAACAUUAGCAAAAAUAUUACCAUUUCACUGCCUCCCACUAGUGCACUAGUGGGAGGCACUGCCUUGUACACUAGUAUAUAAAUAAAUAUAUGUAUAUAUACACACACACACACAUAUAUACUUGUACAUGAAUGCGUGUACAUAUAUGUUGGGUUUUUGUUGGUUGGGUUUUUCUUUUUGUUUUUGCCUGCUACUUCCUUAUUCACACCACUAGAUGGCAACUAGAGACUGCACCCUGGAGAGCAAGCCUGUGACUAAUCUGACACUCAACUGGAGCAUAAGAAGAUCUGAGUCAACACUUAGACGCCUGAGUGUUUUCCAGUUAUGACAAGUUCAAGUCAGUCUCCAAGACUCUUUGUACAAACCUGAGAACCAGUUUCCUUUGUGAUUCCCCUCGUGACGCCGUGGUACAUACCCACUGGUUGCCCGAGUCCCUUUUCGUCCUCUGCAGUCAAGAAAGACAAGAGUCUGUUCCCAGAUCACCGUUGGCUGUCAGUCCGCUCCUCCGUGUCUGAACUUAUCUGUCCGCCCUCCAUUGCUGCCUCCGUCGCCUCUUCCAAGAAUUCCCCGUCGAAUUCAGUUUCUCUGGAACCCUGGAUCAGAACCACAAACCAACUGGAGAACAAGGACCCUGGAACUCGAAAGAACCUUUCCUCUCAACGUUUAAAACUUCACUAACUCAAGUAAGGUUUUUCUGCCGCACUUUUCAAGUUCAUUUUUCCCACAUCAUGGAACGCACCACUAACGUCUCCCUCUCCUCAACAGUCCGACCCGCUCACUCCCUCAGAGGUCUGGUCAUUCAAUUCAUAC